AACGAACGCUGGCGGCAUGCCUAACACAUGCAAGUCGAACGAGACCUUCGGGUCUAGUGGCGCACGGGUGCGUAACGCGUGGGAACCUGCCCUUAGGUUCGGAAUAACUCCCCGAAAGGGGUGCUAAUACCGGAUAAUGUCUUCGGACCAAAGAUUUAUCGCCUUUGGAUGGGCCCGCGUUGGAUUCGCUAGUUGGUAGGGUAAAAGCCUACCAAGGCGACGAUCCAUAGCUGGUCUGAGAGGAUGAUCAGCCACACUGGGACUGAGACACGGCCCAGACUCCUACGGGAGGGAGCAGUGGAGAAUAUUGGACAAGGGGCGAAAGCCUGAUCCAGCAAUGCCGCGUGAGUGAUGAAGGCCUUAGGGUUGUAAAGCUCUUUUACCCGGGAUGAUAAUGACAGUACCGGGAGAAUAAGCUCCGGCUAACUCCGUG
rnacentral:rRNA from 1 species